AUUGAACGCUGGCGGCAGGCCUAACACAUGCAAGUCGAGCGAGCGGCGGACGGGUGAGUAAUGUAUGGGGACUGCCCGAUAGAGGGGGAUAACUACUGGAAACGGUGGCUAAUACCGCAUACUAUCGGAUGACCCAUAUGGGAUUAGCUAGUAGGUGGGGUAAAGGGUCACCUAGGCGCCGAUCACUAGCUGGUCUGAGAGGCUGACCGGCCCAACUGGGACUGAGACACGGCCCAGACUCCUACGGAGGCAGCAGUGGGGAAUAUUGCACAAUGGGCGAAAGCCUGAUCCAGCAAUGCCGCGUGUAUGAAGAAGGCCUUAGGGUUGUAAAGUACUUUCAGCGGGGAGGCGUUACCCGCAGAGGAAGCACCGGCUAACUCCGUGCCAGCAGCCGCGGUAAUUC
rnacentral:rRNA from 1 species